rnacentral:rRNA from 1 species
UACGGGGGGGGUAAGCGUUGUUCGGAAUUACUGGGCGUAAAGGGCUCGUAGGCGGCCAACUAAGUCGAACGUGAAAUCCCCGGGCUCAACCCGGGAACUGCGUCCGAUACUGGCAGGCUUGAAUCCGGGAGAGGGAUGCGGAAUUCCAGGUGUAGCGGUGAAAUGCGUAGAUAUCUGGAGGAACACCGGUGGCGAAGGCGGCAUCCUGGACCGGCAUUGACGCUGAGGCGCGAAAGCCAGGGGAGCAAACAGG